UUCUAUGAUGAUCAUCUCUAUAAUAUACGCUGGAAAUUACCGACUGAGACUUUCGGGUCGUUGGCGAUAACUUUUAUGGCACAUAACUGAGC
rnacentral:snoRNA from 1 species